rnacentral:rRNA from 1 species
GGUGAACGCUGGCGGCGGGCCUAAUACAUGCAAGUCGAGCGAAAAGAUGAGGAGCUUUCGCCUCUGACGGUAGCGACUGGCGGGUGAGUAACGCGUAGAUAGGCUACCUCUAAUACGGGGGGAACUUCGUGGAACCGGAUCUGAUACUGGCGAAUAUAUUCUACCGCAGGGUGCAAUGGUUCAUGGCGGUUUUGGUGUCUGUUUGAGCUGAUGCCGGGCCGCAUUAGCUAGUUGGUAAGGUAACGGCUUACCAAGGCAACGAUGCGUAGCCGACCUGAGAGGGUGAUCGGCCACACUGGAACUGAGACACGGUCCAGACUCCUACGGGAGGCAGCAGUAGGGAAUCUUCCGCAAUGGGCGAAAGCCUGACGCAGCAACGCCGCGUGAGUGAUGAAGGUCUUCGGAUCGUAAAACCCUGUUAUUAGGGAAGAACAACAGCGUAAGUAAAUCUGCCCGUCCUGACGGUACCUAAUCAGAAAGCCCCGGCUAACUACGUG